AACGAACGCUGGCGGCAUGCCUAAUACAUGCAAGUCGAACGAUCACUUCGGUGGUAGUGGCGCACGGGUGCGUAACGCGUGGGAACCUGCCCUUGGGUUCGGAAUAACGUCGGGAAACUGACGCUAAUACCGGAUGAUGACGUAAGUCCAAAGAUUUAUCGCCCAGGGAUGAGCCCGCGUAGGAUUAGCUAGUUGGUGGGGUAAAGGCCUACCAAGGCGACGACCCUUAGCUGGUCUGAGAGGAUGAUCAGCCACACUGGGACUGAGACACGGCCCAGACUCCUACGGGAGGCAGCAGUAGGGAAUAUUGGACAAUGGGGGCAACCCUGAUCCAGCAAUGCCGCGUGAGUGAUGAAGGCCUUAGGGUUGUAAAGCUCUUUUACCCGGGAUGAUAAUGACAGUACCGGGAGAAUAAGCCCCGGCUAACUCCGUGCCAGCAGCCGCAGUAA
rnacentral:rRNA from 1 species